rnacentral:rRNA from 1 species
AACAAACGCUGGCGGCGUGCCUAACACAUGCAAGUCGUACGAGAAAGUCCGCUUCGGUGGAUUAGUAAAGUGGCGCACGGGUGAGUAACGCGUGGAUAAUCUACCCUUUAGCCCGGAAUAACUUACCGAAAGGUGAACUAAUACCGGAUGAUAUCCCGAUUUCCUCGGAUUUUGGGACCAAAGAAGGCCUCUGCUUGCAAGCUUUUACUAAAGGAUGAGUCCGCGUACCAUUAGCUAGUUGGUAGGGUAAUGGCCUACCAAGGUUAUGAUGGUUAGCUGGUCUGAGAGGAUGAUCAGCCACACUGGAACUGAGACACGGUCCAGACUCCUACGGGAGGCUG